CGUAAUGUAGCUUAAUCAAAGCAUCUCGCUUACACCGAGAAAAUGUCUGUGAAAACCGGAUCUUUAUGA
rnacentral:tRNA from 1 species